ACGGGGUAGGAAUACGUAGGUAACGUACCCUCAGGACGGGGAUAGCCACGGGAAACUGUGGGUAAUACCCGAUGAUCUGGUCUGGAUUGAUGUCCGGAUCAGCAAAGGUGAGAUUCCACCUGAGGAGCGGCUUACGCGAUAUUAGCUUGUUGGUGAGGUAACGGCUCACCAAGGCUGCGAUAUCUAGGGGGUGUGAGAGCAUGGCCCCCACCACUGGGACUGAGAUACUGCCCAGACACCUACGGGUGGCUGCAGUCGAGAAUCUUCGGCAAUGGGCGAAAGCCUGACCGAGCGACGCCGCGUGCGGGACGAAGGCCUUCGGGUUGUAAACCGCUGUCGGGAGGGAUGAAGUGCACGGGGGCUAUCCCCUGUGUUUGACAGAGCUCCGGAGGAAGCACGGGCUAAGUUCGUGCCAGCAGCCGCGGUAAUACGAACUGUGCGAACGUUAUUCGGAAUCACUGGGCUUAAAGGGUGCGUAGGCGGCGCUGUAAGUCAGGUGUGAAAUCCCCCGGCUCAACCGGGGAAUGGCGCUUGAGACUGCAGUGCUUGAGUGAGGUAGGGGUGCAUGGAACUUCCGGUGGAGCGGUG
rnacentral:rRNA from 1 species